GACUUGAAGGACCGUGGCACUUCAGUAAUGCCUGGCUUAGCCCUACCUUUGCCUAAGAGCUAAAGUCCUGGGUGAGAAAAUCACUCUCAUUCAUCAUUUAGUCAUUGAAAAUACAUGGUAUUUGAGCACCUACUACAUGUCAGAAAGUAGAAGCUAACAGGUCACUGUCACAUGAGGCUUCAGAUCUGGACUGAGUCCCACCAGGGCCUCUGGCAAAGGAGCACAGAGCAGAAAGCAAUUACAGGAAGCAGGCAGAAUGUUAGGAGAGUGGCAAGAUGUGGCACCUUGCAGAAUCACCAAGGAGGAGGAUUAAGGAAAAUCAUCCAAAGUAAUUAUCCCAAAGACCAGUGGGGACUAGGUAAAGCUCCUGUAAGUUCUCAAGACACAUCCUAAUGACCUCUGCCAGGAAGACUAAAGGGAUGUUUUGCCUGAAUAAUUUGAUAGAAUAAAGACUACUGCUCAGAAAAAUC
rnacentral:lncRNA from 1 species